ACGCCACUCUGGUGGCAUCGGGCGGAACUAUUAUUAACGAUGGUUUACCAGUGACAAUUGCGAUGCCGUACGACGGUAGAGCCACGCGACGAUAGCGAGCAGACACCUAAAUUAAUGACGGACAACCGACUAGAGAACUGCUUGGUAACGUAGCCGACUGUUAAGUGACUUUCCAGGAAUGGAUUUAGUCGUUGCGCAAUAUGCCAAUGAUCCAAGAGGUCUACGUAGAGUCAAGCGAAUCUGUCACCGUCCUCGUGUUGACAUCGCUCUUCGCUCGGGAAAGGAACAGUGUCGGCCAGUUCUUCGUGCCGUCGUGUCAGUAGUGGUGUGUUUGCAAGUGAUUCCGAGGAUUUUCAUGAUCGGGAUUGAAAUAUUCUUUUAUAGGUUACGAGGCGAAGCAAUCGAGUACCACGUGGAUCGAUUCGCUACUCGUUCGUUGGGGUCUCGUUGGUUUGGAUAAAUAAAAGCACCGGGACGAAUCCAGUUUACGAGCUGAAUGGCGGCGAGGCGUGAGGAUAGGCGGAUUAAUAAAAGAUGAAAUACCGUAGCUGCCUCUGGUAUAUUCUGCGACCAAAUUUUCAACCAAAUUCGAUACCUGAAAAUGGAUGUCAAUACAAAACUUCACAUUCAAGUCGUGGAGUUGUUCGAUUGUUCCCCGUCAGGGAGCAGCAGUAGUAAUCAAGCAUGGCUUCUCUCCGAGCUUCAAGUAAUUGGCAAAAUCAAGGGAAAAUCCUGCAAGAAAUCCGCUAGUUUCCUUGGUACAUACAACCUGAAGUAUCCGUCGUUGGAAAACUGUGCAGAACUCAAAUGGUAAAGGGCUAUAAUGAAACCGGCUAACGAGGCUGGCUACUCUACGUUCCUGUACACGUAAUGAAUGAAGAUAAGCCUAAGUCAUCAACGACUUCUUCUACAGUGUAUACAAUGAAUAGGGCUAGUCAAACACUGCGUGCCGUAUCGUUCAGCAGUUACGAGCAAUGCUAUUAACCUUGAGGAUACAGAAGUUUAAUAGAGGCACAUGCAAGGGACGAUAAUAGAUCCUCCAGGAUUGAUAAUGUUAGCCAAACCAAGAACCCUAUAACCAUCCUUCCUUAUCCAGAAGACCUGACAGGAGUUGAGUAUAUAUGCUGAAGGAUGAUAUCGAUGAGGACCAGGGUUUUCCGCAUGGUUAAAACGGGAUUAGCAGAUGUCAACUUCAGGAUAUCAAGGUCCUUGUGGUAUCUAGGCAUAAUACACUCUGUAGAUGUGUAGUAUCUACAACCAUAGAAAAUCCUUUGAACUUGCUUUUGGACCAGGAUCAGAGUCAAGGAAGUUCCAGAGUUCUUCCUCAUGGUGCUGGCACUACGCCUGCACUAACCUAACCUAACCACUAAAUUCACACAGUACGAUCAAAACGUUAUGGCAACAUACAAGCUUGGGACUACUGUACGACUGGAUGCAGACUUCGCUGUUUGUACAAUGAUGAAACCCGCGCGAGCUCAACGACGUCGCGGAAGAUGCUGCGCCGUCGGGACGUCUUUAGAGCUUUAUGAAUAUGAAUGAAGACGCUCGUGAGGAACACGAAAGUGCGUUUCCGAAAAUCAUUCGGAGACUAUGCACCAACGCAGUUUUAUCAGGUUCGAGAACCCCCAAGGAUUAAAACUAUUACGAAAAUUGGAUAAAAGUAUUUCCGGUCAAUUAUACCGAGAAAUUUGCUCCCACUCGGUCCAGAAUUCUCGGAUAGCGUGAUUCUACGGGAACGCCCAGACUUCCUAUAAUUUCCUAGGGCGCAUAAGGCUAAACUUGUGGGGUAUGGCCAAUUGCUCCCAUUAGAUCGAACGAUUCUAGUCUAUACUACAGUAUACGUAUAUAUACGCAUGUACAGUCAGUUAGAUAUGUACCCAGAGAAUCCUAGUAGGAACACGUAGAUACACCUGUAGAUACCAGGUAGACCAGUAGCUAUACAUACAGACACUGUGUAAUCCUGGAGUGGAACGCACGAACCACAGGAACCAUUAACGACGUCGCCCAUCUAAGUUUACCAAGUGCUCUUUGCCAGUUAGAUUUAAGUCGAUUCAAUAGAAAGCGCGUGAAUCAUAUAACAUCUGCAUAUAGACUUAUACGUAUUUUAUUACCCAUGUCCAAGGAGGUAUGGAUUCUCGAGCAUGCCCUCGGUACCCCUAUAUUCCACUGUAACGGUGUACUGCAAGAUUUUCCAGAUAACUAGUUCCGAGUCCUCGAUGGUUCCCACACGUGACUCAAUUUUCUCAGGAAAAUUGUUAUACAUAGUACCCAACGCGAAAAUGCUAUAGAUAAAUUCUGCAAGACCCCGUAUACUGUGCCAACGAUAUACGCAUAGUACCACAGUGGCUCUGUGACACGAAACAAGGACGUAGACAGAAUAUCGAUAAUCCUUUUGCGCUAAUUCUCACCCUGGUGGCGACUUGGCUACCUAUCGAUUUUUCCCAGGAAUUGGUCGGUCCUCGCCAUUGAAGCUACCACCAGGAUCACCACCACACAGCAAAAGCCCAAUGGCAGUUUCCGGUAAGGAUCAACGGCUGAUUACUUUUCCAGUAAUGAUAUCGCUUGAGAUAGACGCAACGCUUUUCCUCCUCCUGCCACCCUCGCCUUCUCUCACUCUCCAUCUCUUUUCUGCAUGAUGGCCCAAGACGCUCAACUUCGUAGGAAGUAUGGAACCCGAAGAAAAGGAAGAUGAAGAAGGAGCCGUUUACG